CGGGACUCUCAAGAGUCUUCUCCAACACCACAGUUCAAAAGCAUCAAUUCUUUGGCCCUCAGCUUUCUUUAUAGUCCAACUCUCACAUCCAUACAUGAUUACUGGAAAAACCAUAGCUUUAACUAGACAGACCUUUGUUGGUAAAGUGAUGUCUCUGCUUUAAUAUGCUGCCUAGGCUUGUUGCAGCACUCAGAAUUUGAGGAACCAGGAUUGACCCUUUCCUCCAACUCUUCUCCCAGUGCACCACUGGUCCGGGAGUCAGGACGAAUGCGUGUCAGCUCUGUCUCUGCCACCUUCCUUGGGAUAUCAGGAAAGCUCUCUUUAGUACCAGUUUCCUCAUCUGACAAACGCAUGGCUCACACUAGGCCUUCCACAAAUCCAGCACUUAGUGAUUCACUAUAUCAUCACCCACUCCUAAUGUUCUGUUUGAGGGAUUUAGUAUUUUUAUCUUCUUUUUUUAAAAAAAUCAGGAAUUUGAGCCUGUAGCCAAUGAACUUUCCUCCCCCGUUAUGAGAAACAAUCCUCAGAAUCCCAAGGAAACCAGGUCCAGGACUUCUCCCAGGGGAGGUUUCUGCAUGCGCAUAACGUACUCUGUCUUAAAAAAAAAAAACAAAACUCUUGACGUCCUUCCCUCCAGUGAAGUCAAUGACUUGCAACUUCCUUUCCCAAGUCCCCACAGAAUUUUAGGCAAAUUAACGCAGGAGCAUUUGAUCUUCUCCCCAGAUGUUUUGAUCACAGAAGGGCCACAUAUGUGCACACAUUCCUGGAUAUUUUUAGGUUUUUUUAUAAGCUCCAAAGUUCUAACUGCUUUUUCACUCCGCGCAUUGUGGGCACUGCCGGGAGAUGUUCCUGCCGAAGCUGCCAAGGCAGGGUCUGGUGGAAGGGGGCCUGGCCCGGGAAGGCUCCCGGAAGUUGCUCUGAGCGAUCCUGGAUGCUGCAUGGCUUCAGUCCCUGAGGCCUCUCUGGCCACUAAGAGAACACAAACCGCUGCCAGAGGCCACCAGCUGUUUCCAGGCUCCUCUGCUACUUUCCACAGCCCCCGCUACCAGCCCUUUGUACUGAUGUGAGAACCACCCAGAUACAACCCUGAGAUGGUGAGCCUGGAGUCAGAAGAACUGGGUUGGAGUCUCACCUCCACAUCUUAGCUGUCUGCCAUCGGGCAAGCUGCUGUACCUUUCUAGCCAGUUUUCUCAACUGUGAAAAGGGGUAACACCACUCACUGCAUGGGGUGGCUGUGAGGACUGAGAGGCGGAGAGUGUGGGGCCAUAAGCACCUGUGUAGCACCCUUCAGACACUGGGGCCUUUGUCACAGCCCUCACCCCUGACGGCCGUGCUUUGGAGGCCUGCUCAGAUGUAGUCG
rnacentral:lncRNA from 1 species